GGGGAGGGGGUCGGGGCUGCGGCGAAGGUGAGAGAGAUCGCGGGGACCACGGCGCGGGGUCAAAUAACCGGGGCGGCGGGCCCGCCCCUCCCGCCGCCGGCAGCGGGGAGGGGCCGGGGGCGGAGGUGGCGGCGGCGGCCGUUAGCCGGCAGCCGUUAGCCGGCUGAGGGGCGUUAAGGGAGGGGCGGUCGUGCCCCCUCCGUCCCUCCUUUCUCCUCCUCCUCCUCCUCUUCUUCCUCAUCUCCAAGCACCCUUGCCCAGGUGCGGUCCGUCCCCUUCCCGGGCAGCCAGCUGCCGCCCUGCCUUUGCAGCAGGGUUAGACCGGGCUUCACCUCAGGCGGGCAGAGCUCUGCCUCCGCUUCUCUUUGCACGCUUUUGAGAGGGACAAACGGAAGAUCUUAACGGGGGGUUUGGCUGCCUGUGCAGCUGGGGCUCUGGCAUGAAGAACAAACGGCAAAUAUUGGAGGCCUUGAUAUGGAAUAGCAGCAGCUGACAGCAUUACAGUCAUAUCUGUCCAAACGUAUUAUCUCUGCAUUUUGAGACCUGUGAUUCUAUUGUCCUCAAAUGCUGAUCUGGUUCUUCCAAAGCUUGUUCUAUCCUGCAAGUAUGAAAACAUAAAAAGUUGUUAAAUGAAUAAUGCUACUGAGAAAGCAUAAAGUUUUGUCAGAAGACCCCUAUAGUUGUUCCUAGCACCUGAUGACUUAGCAUGUUCUUCAUGAUCUUGGCCACCUGCUGCUCCCAAAUUGCUCUCAAUGUUCCCAGCUUCCACAUAGCUCCAGUCAUCUCCCUCCCAGCUGUCUUCCAAAUCCCCACUGCCUCCCUGCUUUGCCGUAUGGCUUCCAAUUUCUGUGAUUGUUUCUAAUGUUACCUCUGGAUAUUCUGUGAACGCAGAAUGUUUCAGCUGCUGAUUCUCUUUCAGAUCCACAGCUCCAUGAUACACUAUUCAGCUGCUAUUGAAAUCUCUUUGAUCACUUAGCUCCACUUCCUUUGUCAGCAGAUACAGCUCCUACUGCUUCACCUACUUUAUUCUGUAAAAAAGCUUAUUGCCCGUCUUACAUUUAUUCUGAGGGAAGGUGCUAAGCCAAACAGCUUUCAUAAAUUUCUCCUAAUGCACAUCAUAAUACACCUUUCUCAGCUCUAAUCAUCAUCUAACAAGUGGCACCUUAUACAAUGCAUGAUCAAUGGAGAAAAAGAAAUUUCAAACUGCAAGUUAUAGAAACUUACCUGUUCACUGUAUGCUUUGUUAUCAGGACAUUUUCACAUCAAUGGCCUAGACUGUUCUUAGCCCCCUACUUAUCUCCAUAGUGAUGUUCUCUUCUCCUCUAACAGAUUUUCUCUUAAACUACCUUUAAUUGAGCAACAGAAAAUGUCUUUUGGUGCUGAGAAAUCUGGGAAACUUGUCACUAUUUUUCCAGUCUGAGCUUUGAUGGCUACGUUUCAACUGCAUGAGACCCAAGAAGACUUCCUUGCUUCCACAUCUGAGUGAAUAUUCCAUGUCAGGACAAGAUCUGCACGUGGACCAUUAAUUAGCAACUACCUCUUGAUAGAAAAACCCAAGCACACCGAAAGGAAGAGAUCUGAAGUACUCAAAAAACAAACCAGGACUGAAAGAGAGCCCAUCGAUUACUGAGUCAAAGCUUCCUUUCCCCUUCCUGUUCCCACAGUAUAAUUGCUAUAAAUGCUGCUAGUUAUAUAAGAAACGGACAUAGAAUCUUCAUGUAACACCAGACAAAAAUAUUAAAAGAUUAACAAAGUAGAACAGAAAUAAAAAUCAGUAAAAAUAAUUUUUCUGAAUCUGAAAUGAUUAAGUAUCCCUACAACUUUGCUACCCUCACGAACAAAAAUUAUAGAGAUACACCAAAUUCAAAUUAAGCUAUUUGAUAUUCAAAAAAGUCCUCUACGGUAGCUUCUUUAAACCUUUUGCAAUAUUUGGGGAAAACAAAAAACAAAACAAAACAAAAAACCAAAGCAAACAGAAGAUACUUUUCACCUACCUAUGCAUUCUUUCCAAUUGACAAGUAUUUAGACUUAGUAUUGAAAUUCUAACUAAGCACUUGAAGAAUGUCAGUCAACUUCACCGUAGUGUUACUGUUUCAGACAGUUGCAAAAGGUGUGCGUUUUUUUCAGAACUGAUGUAAGAAGUAUUUUCUUCACUAGAUAAAGACAGGCGUGCAAAUCAAUUUUCACUAACACCGACAUAACCAGUACCAAGAAAUAAAAACGACAUGAAACGUAACAAGACUUGGUAGCCCUAAUCCACCUUAAGUCACUCCACCUUCAAAAUGUUUCUUCCUGUUGCCUCUCUUCAUAUACAAAUCAAACAAAAUCAAAGCUUUAUCACUAAUAUUUUGUUCUUUUUGAUUAUUCCAGGCUGAUUUCAAUGACAGCUUCAAUAGUUAUGAUCAGGAUUGGACGCACCGGGUUUUACUUCAUUCUUACUCCAUUUCUCCACUGGAGAAAUUACAGUGGCUUGUGUUUAUUAGCUUCAUUCUCAUUAAAAAUAAAUUCUUUCAUCCCACACAAUCAGGUGCAAACUUAUGAAGUGGAAGAAAGGAGAGUGAGAGAUCAAUAGACACAAGCACUGACUGCUGUGGUGCUUGCAUUCCUGAGUUCUGUAAAGUAGCAACUGCCCUGGGCCCGCUGAGACUGCCUGUUGGUCUGCUGACCUCCUAAGUGAAAGGGCCAUGGGCUUGUAAGGAUGAAAUAUAUGUAGAGAACAUUUCUAUUUUAAAGUAGACCUACUUAAGUGUUGAAUGUGAUAUCACAAUUGCUACAAGACAUGGAUUUUUUUAAAAAAAUUAAUACCCGAUCAAAAAAAGUUAUUAAAACAGACUUAAAAAUACAGCAGCUAUUCCCACACAGCUUGGAAUCUACAACUGAAUACAUUUGCUUCACACUCUAAAGGUUUCCUCCAAGAUUAGAAGGAACUAGACACAUUCAAGUGUAUAUACAUAAGUUUGACUUUGCAAAAGCUGAAAGCAUUGGUCGUACAGGUCCAAAAAACAUGUCUACAUCAGUGAGGUCUUGCAAAGACUUUUGAUACUUUUGCAUCCUAAAAAAUAUGGAGCCUUUACCCGAAAAACAACACAAAGAAAAAAGUUAGAAAUGGGAAAAAAAAAGUAUAUGUAUACAAACGUGCUUCAAACCAUCUACCCAUUAAUGUUCACUUCAGUUAUGAGGCUAAGCAGAGAGGAAUAAAUACUGAAGAGGUACAAUAUGUUGGUGCAUAUUUCUUUCUGAAAUAAUUUUAAGACAUUAUAAAUUUCUCAGUAGUUUUGUUUCAACAUAAUGGUAUAAUAGUAAGAGAUCCUAAAAGUACUACAUGGGUUUGUUUUCUGAUCUUGUCUUGUAUCUUGACUCCAAAUUACUCAAGAAGCUCUACACUAAUAUUCUAUGAAGCAUAUCAAUGAAUAAAAUUACUCAUUGAUAAAAUACAUACUAAUGCAUCAGUUGAGGAAUUGGAUGAUUUGGAUGAAGGUUAAAGCUGCGUAUGUGUACAUACUUGUUGCCUUGUGUUCAAGGUCCAUUUUCAUCAAACUGUUCUCCAGGGUUCAUGUAUUAUUUAUAUCAAAAGAGGACUCUGUAUUUUCAAAUCUUAUUUAAUAUUUUUAAAUCUUUUUUAAAAUCUUCAAAUCUUUUAAUUUUUCCCUCUGCAAGUCCUAUAAGCUUGUUUCCCAUUUCUUGCUUAUCUUUAUGGAACUGUCUCUCAAAGGAAAAGGAAAAUAACGUACGUAUGUGGUUAUAAAGAAAUAAAGAAAAAAUCUCAGGCCAUUUCAUGCUGAGACGAAAUUCACAGUAACAGAGAUCUCCUGGGCUCUUUAAGAAGUAAAACAGUAAAAUAUCCAUGCUCUGCUCCUUUAUCUAUCUUGCUCCCAUAUUCCUCUUGAGUAGCUAUGUUGGAACCUCCACAGGUCUCCAUAAAUUCUAUCAUUCUAUCAUACCCAGGGACACAAUUGCAGCAUAGCUUUUGCCAGUGGAUACGCCAGUGCUAACAAAGGGGCAAGGUUUCUCUCUCGGUAGGAAGGGUGAAGUUAAAUUAUUUCCACAAGCAAAUAUUCUGUAUCAGGAAAGGUGAAGUUAAAUUAUUUCCAUGAGCAAAUAUUCUGUAUCGGUAGCCUUGGUAAUCUAGUGGCAACGACAUAACAUUUAGCUUUGUUAGAAAAGCAAAAAGGACAUUUGCUGCUUAAAACGCACAACUGUAUAGAACAGAUGGCUGUUACAGCAGCAUAUACAGCCUGAAUCCUCACCUCCUGUUUGCACAGGCCACUAUUUCCCCUGCUGUUCUGGGGAUACUGAUGAAUCCUGUAUAUCAGGGGACUGAGAAAGAAGGAGGGGUCAUAAGAGCGAGAGAACAGCUAAAAAUAGGGUGGGGGAGGGAGAAGAGGGUUUCCUCCCCCUGCUCCUCGACAGGCCUUCUGAAGUCUCUACAACAUUCCGACAUCCCACUUAUCCUGACCUAAAUAUUCUCUUCUGUCUAUCCCCUAGCAUGUUAACACCCCAAAACUUCCUAAAUCCCAUGGCUUGACCAGCCUUCCCAGACUCCAGAACACCACUGACAUUUGCCAGCCUUCCCCUUAUGCUUCCUUUUAGCACUCCAGACCCUUUCCGCCAGCUCGCACAAAACUGCAUUUCACCUACUUGCUGUGAAAGAAACUGUGAGCCAGCUCUUGGUCUGACUUGCUAUAUGGAGGAAUAAGACCCAUAUUCAGUGCAGUGCUAUAAAAUCCUUCUGUGCCAAAGUUUGAAGAUGAUCUUUAUUUGGUGAUAAAGUUCAGUUGCUUCUGUUUAACCUGACACGUCCCUCUGUAGAACUCCGUUCACAGAUUUACCAUGUCUGAAACACUGUAACACUUAAAAGUACUAUUUUCAAUAACUUUUCGUCUUUUCCCAGUGAAAAGUCAACACGACCUAUAUUUAAAACUGCACAGAAUGCAUAAUUUCAAAUAGUUAAAUCAUUAAACAUUAAUCAAGUGCUGUUCAACUAAGCUCUGAGGUGUUGUGAACUCUCAGUCCCCCUUUGAGAUAUCGGUAUUAUAAUCAUCAGAAGAUCUGAAGUUAAUUCCAGCGUUGUGUCUUGGAACCUCUUUUGAUCAUUGGUUAACUAAGACUCCUUAGCCAUGGGUAGAAAGAGAUAAACUUCAAUAAGCCCAGUCAAACCAUGGCCACCAUUACCAUUAGGAAAAGGUAAAGGUAGAAGUUAGGGCUGUCAUGGCUAAAAGGUCCUCUUGACUGGGAAAGAUAUAUAGAUGUGCCCAGUUGACUAAGGAGAAAAAAUGCGAGACAGUGGAAAUACUGUUAAGGUUCAUGUUAAGAAUGUAUAUACCGUCUGCGAAGCCAAGAAGAAAUCAGAUGCAGGCUUCUUUAACCUCAAACAUCUACAAAAACCAGGAAGAGGAGGGAUUUUUCAAACUGUCAGCAGAAGCCUAUGAAAGACUUCUAAUGCUACAUGAAGUCUUCAAUUCUAUUAGAAAAAGCAAAUGUAGAUGAUAAAGCAAUCUUAUAUACUAGUGAAUGACACACGUCCAAGAAUUUUCCUUUGCACCAAGGGAAAGUGGCAUGUAAUUAAGUAAAAUCUCUUAGCUUCCAAGUCAGUGUCGGCGUGCAAACUGCCUGUUGGUAAGGACCCCCAGAAUGAUGAUCUGCCAAACUGCCCCAAAGAAGUAUUUGGGGAAAAUGCUAGCUGGAAGGGCCACGCUCACACCAGGGCACAGUUCAACAGUUUGUUAGCAUAAAGGAUCAUGCUCUAAAGGUCAGCAGUACUCUCAGGCACGCUGAAAUCUCCUAGUAUAGGCACAGUUAUUCCAAGAAGCUCUUAUGGUAAUGAUUUUCUCCCCUGCCCUGUCCCCCCUUCACUUCUCCCCCCCUCCCCAGCCAAGCAAACUAGAAGAAGCAGUUGGUGAAGUAGCUAUUUUCAAUUUGAUUUUCACCAGAAAAUGACUGAAAACAUAAAGGUGGGAAGCAAGCUUAGUGAAAGUUAAUGAAAAGAAUUCAUUAUUGUAAGGAGAGGAAGGAGUCAAAGGAUUAGAAGAAAAAUACACCAAACUCUAACAAACUCAAGGAUCUGGAGAUGGAGUCUUCUGGAAACUUAAUUUAAAUGACAGAAGACUGCCAGGAAAGUAGCAGUAACUGAAAAGGGCUGUAAAUGGAGAACAAGAAACCUCUCUGAAGCAAAACAGAAAGCAAAGAUAAGAAAUCACUGUGGCUGUACCAAGAGUCUUUCAAGAAAAUGAAAAUUAAAGAGAAAUCAUGCAAGGCACGGAUACAUCCCUCUGACAGAGGUGCACACUCAGGAAGUUCAUGAACAAUACCAAAUUGGAGAGAGUGGUUGAUACGCUGGAGGGGAGGCCUGCUAUUCAGAGGAACCUCAACUGCCUGUAGAAAUGGGCUACCAGGAACCUCAUGAACCUCAGCAAAGGCAAAUGGCUGGCAUGUGGAGAAUAAUAAGCCCAGGUACCAGUAUGUGCUGGGGACUGACCAGCUACAACACAGCUUUGCAGAAGAGGACCUGGGGUUCCUGGUGCUUCCUAAGCUGCAUAUGAGCCAGGAAUGCGCCUGUGGCAAAGGCAGUCAAUGGCAUCCUGGGCUGCAUUAGCAAGAGUAUGGCCAGCAAGCCAAGUGUUUCCCUCCUCCUCUGCUCAGCACGCGUGAGACCCCUUCUGGGGUGCUGCGCAGAGCUUUGAACUCCUCAGUAUGAGAAAGACACUGACGUGCUGGAGUGCAUCCAGCGGAGAGCCACCAGCAUGGUUAGAGGGAGGGCACGCAUGAGGAAGGGGAGAGGGUGAGACAACUGGGCUGGUUCAGCCCAAAGAAGGGAAGACUGAGAAGGAUAUUGCUGCUGUCUCCAACCACCUGCUGGGAGGUUACAGAGGUGGUGGAGCCAGGUGCUUUUCAAAGGUGCACAAUGACAGGAGGAGAGGCAACGGACACAAGCUGGAACGUGGGGAAUUCUGAUCAUAGACAGGAAAACCUGCUUCACCUUGGGGUGGUCCAACACUGAAACAGGUUGCCCAGAGCAGCUGUGAAAGCUGCUUCCUUGGAGAGAUUCAAAACUCAACAAGACCCUGAGCAACUCAGUCUAAUAUGAUCUACUUUGAAGAGAAGGCUGGGCUAGAUAAGUCCCAAAUGUCCCUUAAAACAUACAUGAUCAUAUGACUAAGAAAUGUGCUGAUUGCUUUUGAAAGCAAUCAGGAGUUGGAUCUACUAGAUACCUGAGAGGAACCAUCCCUUUUCUUUCUCAGAAACUGUUUCCUCUGACAACUAUGACCUGCCUGCAGCAGAAACUCAAAAUUUUUUCAAACUCUAAGUAGAUUUCACAUAAAAUCAUAACAUAAAAAUGAUUCCCUAAUUUCCUGGGAAAACCUUGGUAUUCCUAUGUCCUGAUUCCUCCCUACCUUUGAAAACAUAACGGCAACAAAAGUGAAGCCAUGACAAGCCUAACAUUUAAAAGAGGUAAAAACCACCUUUUCCAGCAGCCUGAAAAUUAGAUGUCUUCAUUGUCACCACUUGAAAUAAAUCUUGGUCUAAAAGCAUCCAGAGGAGUUUCUCUGCUUGAGAGAAACCUUUUUGCCACUGUUUUAUACUUCAUUAGGAAUCUUUUACCCAUUUGCAAUAGUUCCAAUCACCUAUACAGCAUGGAAGGGUCUCUGUGCUGAGGACUCGGAAUUGGUCCAUUAAUUUAGAUUUUCUAGUAAUAGAGUUAAUGUGCUGAAAGGUGCUUCAGAAUUACUGAAAUAAUGAGCACCUCUUAACACUGAACUAAAGUACUCCCAAGGCUACAUUGGGGACUGGGGGAGAACUUUGUAAUACUUAUUUGUUCCCUACAGGCUUGCCCAGUUUAAAAAAAACCUCAGACACUUCAGUCCGGCAAACCAAAGGCCAUUAGUAAGGGCAGGACAAACCUGCUGCUCAGGUUGGUCUGGUUUCUGUAGUAUAAAAAUUCUGGCUUUUACCUAGUGCUGACAAUCGACAGUAGGACUACAGAUAAAAGGACUGAUUUUCUUUCUCUAGACCUGAGUAUAAUUGCUUGUGUACAAGACUUCGCUUCCUGCAUCAGGACUUACACCGUUCCAAAACCUAGUUUUAAUUUGUUAUUCUUUGUCCUGUUUUUAAUGAUCAGAACAAAAAUAAACUACACAUGGUUUUCUCUGGUGUAAGGUUUAUACUUUAUACUUUUCAGCCCUAGUAUUCUUACUGUUUGGCUUAAACAUUCUUGUAAAAGGGAGAACAUAAACUCUACUUGUAAUUUAAGAGAAAACCCAUUGUUUGUUAUUCAGGAAGAACCCCACUGAAAGCACUAGGUUGGAAGCGAUCACAAGUACAACUGAGUAACAGCACAGUCAGACUUUAAUUGCCUUGGGAAGAUGGGAGCAUUCUAAUAGCUGCUCUAAAGAUUUUGUAUGCCUUCAUAUUCCCAACUAUUCUUCACUUUCACAGUAUGUGUGCCUUUUCCUCCAUUUUUAUCAUUUUCCCUUCACAUAGUAGCCUGGUGCUCUGUACUCUGAUCUGGGUCUGGUCGCAGCUGCGUGCAUACUCCAUUUCAGUAGCACUCUGUAAGACAGACAGAGAAGCAAGGCAACAUGCAAUCUUCUUUCAUUAAAUAAAU